UGGGCUGUAGCUCAAUGUUAAGAGUACUUGCCUAGCAUGCCAGAUGCCCUGAGUUCAAUCCCCAGCAUCACAA
rnacentral:tRNA from 1 species